CAGACAAUUAAGAAUUUGAGUUUGCAAAUUUUUAGACCAUUCCAAGGAUUUGAGACUACAACCUCCAGGAAACAACACCACAAUAAUCUACUGCAAUCCUUUGUUUAAAUAUGGGAGGAACUGAAGAAGAUAAACAUGAGGGCGAAGCUGAGGAGCAUAAGAAGGAAAAGAAGCAUAAAGAGGAAGGUGAUGGAAAAGAAGAAUCUAAAGAGAAGAAGAAAGGGAAAGAGAAGAAGGAGAAGAAUCCUGAAGAUAAAAAUGAUCCUACGAAACUGAAGCAAAAGCUUGAAAAAUUAGAGACCAAGAUUCAGGCGCUAGUAACUAAGAGAGAAGAAUUACUGAAGCUGUUUCAAGAAGUAGUAGCGAAUUCAAGUGCGCCACCAGUGGCCUCUUAGAUCAACUGUGUAUAUGUUUUUAUAUAUAUAUAUUGUAUGAAUAAGUGUAUAAUCUAUAACACACACUUUCUCUCUCCAUAUAUGUAUUUGCUAUAGGAUAAAAAUAAAAAUGCAUGGACACUCCCAUGCUAGAAGAGAGAACAAAGAAAAAUGUAGAUAUUGUGGAGACGGUCUGUAUUUAAUUUUGCCUGUGUUAGAUUCAUGGCUUGUGUAAUUUAUUGAAAUAAAGUAUUAAUUAUUAUAGUA